rnacentral:rRNA from 1 species
GAGUUUUGAUCCUGGCUCAGGACGAACGCUGGCGGCGCGCCUAACACAUGCAAGUCGAACGGAGUCAAGAGGAGCUUGCUUUUCUUGACUUAGUGGCGAACGGGUGAGUAACGCGUGAGUAACCUGCCCUGGAUGGGGGACAACAGUUGGAAACGACUGCUAAUACCGCAUAAGCCCACGGAUUCGCAUGGAUCUGCGGGAAAAGGAUUUAUUCGCUUCAGGAUGGACUCGCGUCCAAUUAGCUAGUUGGUGAGGUAACGGCCCACCAAGGCGACGAUUGGUAGCCGGACUGAGAGGUUGAACGGCCACAUUGGGACUGAGACACGGCCCAGACUCCUACGGGAGGCAGCA